UGAUCCAGCCAUCCCGCGUGUAUGAUGAAGGCCUUCGGGUUGUAAAGUACUUUUGGCAGAGAAGAAAAGGUAUCUCCUAAUACGGGAUACUGCUGACGGUAUCUGCAGAAUAAGCACCGGCUAACUACGUGCCAGCAGCCGCGGUAAUACGUAGGGUGCAAGCGUUAAUCGGAAUUACUGGGCGUAAAGCGUGUGUAGGCGGUUCGGAAAGAAAGAUGUGAAAUCCCAGGGCUCAACCUUGGAACUGCAUUUUUAACUGCCGAGCUAGAGUAUGUCAGAGGGGGGUAGAAUUCCACGUGUAGCAGUGAAAUGCGUAGAUAUGUGGAGGAAUACCGAUGGCGAAGGCAGCCCCCUGGGAUAAUACUGACGCUCAGACACGAAAGCGUGGGGAGCAAACAGGAUUAGAUACCCUGGUAGUCCACGCCCUAAACGAUGUCAACUAGCUGUUGGGGCCGUUAGGCCUUAGUAGCGCAGCUAACGCGUGAAGUUGACCGCCUGGGGAGUACGGUCGCAAGAUUAAAACUCAAAGGAAUUGACGGGGACCCGCACAAGCGGUGGAUGAUGUGGAUUAAUUCGAUGCAACGCGAAAAACCUUACCUACCCUUGACAUGUCUGGAAAGCCGAAGAGAUUUGGCCGUGCUCGCAAGAGAACCGGAACACAGGUGCUGCAUGGCUGUCGUCAGCUCGUGUCGUGAGAUGUUGGGUUAAGUCCCGCAACGAGCGCAACCCUUGUCAUUAGUUGCUACGCAAGAGCACUCUAAUGAGACUGCCGGUGACAAACCGGAGGAAGGUGGGGAUGACGUCAAGUCCUCAUGGCCCUUAUGGGUAGGGCUUCACACGUCAUACAAUGGUCGGGACAGAGGGUCGCCAACCCGCGAGGGGGAGCCAAUCUCAGAAACCCGAUCGUAGUCCGGAUCGCAGUCUGCAACUCGACUGCGUGAAGUCGGAAUCGCUAGUAAUCGCGGAUCAAAUGUCGCGUGAAUACGUUCCCGGGUCUGU
rnacentral:rRNA from 1 species